rnacentral:rRNA from 1 species
UGUAGCAUACAUGGCGUACUGCUCAGUAACACGUGGACAACCUACCCUCCGGACGGGUAUAAACCCGGGAAACUGGGUAUAAUCCCCGAUAGAUCUCGGCUGCUGGAAUGCAUCGAGAUCGAAAGCUCCGGCGCCAGAGGAUGGGUCUGCGGCCUAUCAGGUAGUAGUGGGUGUAGCGUACCUACUAGCCUACGACGGGUACGGGUUGUGAGAGCAAGAGCCCGGAGAUGGAUUCUGAGACACGAAUCCAGGCCCUACGGGGUGCAGCAGGCGCGAAAACUUUACAAUGCCGGCAACGGCGAUAAGGGGACCUCGAGUGCCAGGUUACAAAUCUGGCUGUCGUGAUGCCUAAAAAGCAUUGCAUAGCAAGGGCCGGGCAAGACCGGUGCCAGCCGCCGCGGUAACACCGGCGGCUCGAGUGGUAACCGUUAUUAUUGGGUCUAAAGGGUCUGUAGCCGGCCGGAUAAGUCUCUUGGGAAAUCCAGCAGCUCAACUGUUGGGCUUUCAGGAGAUACUGUCUGGCUCGAGGCCGGGAGAGGUGAGAGGUACUUCAGGGGUAGGGGUGAAAUCUUGUAAUCCUUGAAGGACCACCAGUGGCGAAGGCGUCUCACCAGAACGGACCUGACGGCAAGGGACGAAAGCUAGGGGCACGAACCGGAUUAGAUACCCGGGUAGUCCUAGCCGUAAACGAUACUCGCUAGGUGUCGGCCACGGUGCGACCGUUGUCGGUGCCGUAGGGAAGCCGUGAAGCGAGCCACCUGGGAAGUACGGCCGCAAGGCUGAAACUUAA